UACAGAGGGGGCAAGCGUUAUUCGGAAUUAUUGGGCGUAAAGGGCGCGUAGGCGGCUUGGCAAGUGGAAGGUGAAAUCCCUCGGCUUAACCGAGGAACUGCCCUCCAAACUGCUUCGCUUGAGACCGGGAGAGGUGAGUGGAAUUCCCAGUGUAGCGGUGAAAUGCGUAGAUAUUGGGAGGAACACCAGUGGCGAAGGCGGCUCACUGGACCGGUACUGACGCUGAGGCGCGAAAGCGUGGGUAGCAAACAGG
rnacentral:rRNA from 1 species